rnacentral:rRNA from 1 species
CCACGGGGAUCUGCAGUGGGGAAUAUUGGACAAUGGGCGAAAGCCUGAUCCAGCCAUGCCGCGUGUGUGAAGAAGGCCUUCGGGUUGUAAAGCACUUUCAGUGGGGAAGAAAGCCUUGGGGCUAAUACCCUCGAGGAAGGACAUCACCCACAGAAGAAGCACCGGCUAACUCCGUGCCAGCAGCCGCGGUAAUACGGAGGGUGCGAGCGUUAAUCGGAAUUACUGGGCGUAAAGCGCGCGUAGGCGGUCUGAUAAGCCGGUUGUGAAAGCCCCGGGCUCAACCUGGGAACGGCAUCCGGAACUGUCAGGCUAGAGUGCAGGAGAGGAAGGUAGAAUUCCCGGUGUAGCGGUGAAAUGCGUAGAGAUCGGGAGGAAUACCAGUGGCGAAGGCGGCCUUCUGGACUGACACUGACGCUGAGGUGCGAAAGCGUGGGUAGCAAACAGGAUUAGAUACCCUGGUAGUC